GGGAUUGACUUGCAAAUGUCGAUUUUUGCUUAAUGAUAAACGAAGAAUUUCCGCAAACCACGGCAAUCCUCUUUCAAUUACCAUAUGCCCGAAUAAUAAUGUUUUGGAUUUCCUGUAUGGCCAAACUGCCUUGUGAAAGUUCGGCAUCCGGGCUUAAGUAGUCGAACCAUUCCAUUAUAUUUUUCAGCUCUUAGUUCAUAUAAUUUUAGUUCCGGAAUCAAAUUGAUGUGGCGCUGAUCUGAAAUUGAGAAUGUCAAAAGGUGAUCAGCAGUUUCAAAAAGGACGUACUAAUGCUGAAAUAACCAGCAUUACAUUAACUACUAUAUGGAUUAGUAAACUGCGAGCAGUGACACUUCUUAAAAUUUCAGAUCAAAAUUAUCAACACUACAACGAAGAUGAACAACAGUGACCACAUUCUCAAGAGAAGUUCAUAAUUUGAGAAAACAAAACAAUAGAGAAUACAAUAUUCGACUUCCCCGACUAUUGGAUACCCGUUACUCAGCUAGUGGAAAUGUGAUCGCGAAAUUUUAUAAUUUUUCUAUGGAAUCGAUAGAUAUUGGUAAAUAAAAUAAGAAAAAAUGUA
ensembl:ncRNA asRNA:CR45182 antisense RNA:CR45182